rnacentral:lncRNA from 1 species
CAAUAAUAAAAAGGGGUACAACAUUAUUGAUCGAACCAAUUUUUUCCGGUCACCGGUAAAUGAAAUAUCCAGCAUUCAUCGUCAUCAGAAAUCCGGAAACCUCUUAAAAAACUCACAUACGAUGAACCACAAGUCAAAGAGUUUAUACCUUCAAACGCCAAGAGGAAAAAGCUGAAUCCUCUGUCUUAACCCACGCUCCAAACUAAGUUCUUCAGUUGGAUUUUGAUUGCCAUUUACUUACUCAUAUAAGUUGUAGCAAUGUGGGGACACUCAACCCUCCACUAUUUUAUU